GAUGAAGAACGUAGCGAAAUGCGAUAAGUAGUGUGAAUUGCAGAAUUCAGUGAAUCAUCGAAUCUUUGAACGCACAUUGCGCCCUUUGGUAUUCCAAAGGGCAUGCCUGUUCGAGCGUCAUUUGUACCCUCAAGCUUUGCUUGGUGUUGGGCGUCUUGUUUCUAGCUUUGCUGGAGACUCGCCUUAAAGUAAUUGUCAGCCGGCCUACUGGUUUCGGAGCGCAGCACAAGUCGCACUCUCUAUCAGCAAAGGUCUAGCAUCCAUUAAGCCUUUUUUUCAACUUUUGACCUCGGAUCAGGUAGGGAUACCCGCUGAACUUAAGCAUAUCAAUAAGCGGAGGA
rnacentral:misc_RNA from 1 species